UGGAGAGAGCCUUAGUGGUUUGAGUGUUGGACUAUGAUUCUGGAGACCAGGGUUCGAUUCCUGGCUCAGCCA